rnacentral:rRNA from 1 species
UACGAAGGGGGCUAGCGUUGCUCGGAAUCACUGGGCGUAAAGCGCACGUAGGCGGAUUGUUAAGUCAGGGGUGAAAUCCUGGAGCUCAACUCCAGAACUGCCUUUGAUACUGGCGACCUUGAGUCCGGGAGAGGUGAGUGGAACUGCGAGUGUAGAGGUGAAAUUCGUAGAUAUUCGCAAGAACACCAGUGGCGAAGGCGGCUCACUGGCCCGGUACUGACGCUGAGGUGCGAAAGCGUGGGGAGCAAACAGGG